GAAAUGCGAUAAGUAGUGUGAAUUGCAGAAUUCAGUGAAUCAUCGAAUCUUUGAACGCACGUUGCGCCCCUUGGUAUUCCAUGGGGCAUGCCUGUUCGAGCGUCAUUUGUACCCUCAAGCUCUGCUUGGUGUCGGGUGUUUGUCCCCGUCUCCGCGCGUGGACUCGCCCCAAAGUGAUUGGCAGCCGGCGUACUGGUCCCGGAGCGCAGCACAUGUCGCGCAAACGAGUGCCUUGGUACGGCGGCGUCCAUAAGCCCCUCUCUCACGCUCUUGACCUCGGAUCAGGUAGGGAUACCCGCUGAACUUAAGC
rnacentral:misc_RNA from 1 species